AAUGUGGGGUUGGUAUGAUUAUGAAUUUUUCUCCUAACUUUGGCGUGGAGAGAGAAAGAAAAAAAUGUUUUUAUUUUUGAAAUAUGCAGUUAUCAUAUAUAGUGGUGUUGGAGGAAGUUAUUUAGUAUAGUUGAUGUGUUGGAGGAAGUUAUUUGAUGUGUUCAUGGAGGUUACAUAUUUAAUAAAUGAGUUUUUUUUUGUAUUUUUUUUUAAUUUAAUAAUUGAUAGUAAUUGUAACAAUUGUUAAAGGAUAAAAUUGGAAGAAAAAAAAAGGUCAU
rnacentral:lncRNA from 1 species